rnacentral:rRNA from 1 species
UACGUAGGGUGCGAGCGUUGUCCGGAAUUAUUGGGCGUAAAGGGCUCGUAGGCGGUUUGUCGCGUCGGGAGUGAAAACCCAGGGCUUAACUCUGGGCUUGCUUUCGAUACGGGCAGACUAGAGGUAUGCAGGGGAGAACGGAAUCUGGUGUAGCUGGUGAAAUGCGGCAGAAUAUCAGAGGAACACCGGUGGCGAAAGGGCGGGAUUCUCC